rnacentral:misc_RNA from 1 species
UGUUUUUUUCUAUAACUUUUAUUACUUUACUAUACCUAUUUUCAUCGAAAGUUACGGCUCAAGCUAAUCAAUUUAGAAUUGUGGGAGGUUUCGAUACCGACAUUUCGGAUGCUCCAUAUAUGGCCUCAUUGCGUGAGUUACGCAAGGAGAUUCGUGCACUGGGCAGUGGACAUUUUUGUGGUGGGACUAUUAUUAAAGAUCGUGUAAUUCUUACGGCAGCUCAUUGUUUAACUAAGUGGGUACGCCUCAGCGAAAAUGUUGCCUGUUCAUUCAGUUAAUUUUUGCUGCAGACGGAGCCCCGCCAAGGCAUUGGUUGUAGUGGGAUUCAAGUAUCUUUCCCUCAAUUGGCCGACGAUGAAGAAACUGAAAAUCUCAAAUUGGAAUUAUCAUAAAAAAUAUAGAAAGGAAAGAAAAGCAAUAUUCGAUAUUGGAUUGAUAUUCACAAUUGAAAAUAUAGAACCCGUUAAUGGGGCAAUCGCAUUUCUGCCCCUUAACACGGUGGAAAUAAGCCCUGGUACUAAAUGUCUAUUGUCUGGAUGGGGUCGAGUUGAGCACAAUGCACCCCAUAGAGCAAGUUGCCUGCAGUCAUUGUGGCAACGGAUUCUAGACAAAAGAGUAUGUUUUAAGAUCGCUAAUAGAUAUGACCUAUUGUGCACCAACUCAGGGCUUCCGACUGGGGCUAGUCGAGGUGAUUCAGGUGGUCCGCUGCGCUGCAACGAUAAACUUGCGGGUGUUAUCGCUGCCGGAGACCUACAUGGUCUCGCUUUAUAUACAGAUGUCCGGCCAUUUGCCGAUUGGAUAGAAGAACAGAUUAGGAAUGGAAUAAUGCCACUUGGCUCGUUUUGCAUUGGGAAGCACGUUGUUUUGGCCAUCAGCAUUUGUGUGGCCACCAUAUGCAAGUCGGGAUUUUAGACUCAGACUAAACCGAGUUACUUACAAUGACUUAUAAAUCAGUAGGCUUAUGAGUUUCGUUCAAUUAACAACUAAUAUUUCGAGAUUUAUAAAAUUCCAAAUUUCCUUGUCUGAAUUUUAGAAAACAAAUAUUAUGUCUCUAAUGCUAAUAUUGAUGAUUCAUAUCGUUUUAUUUUAUCCAUUGACAUCGGCGAAUGCUGCUUCAGACAAUGUUACUUUCAAAAUUAUAAACGGGUUUUCUUGCAACAUCAAGGAGACUCCCUAUCAGGUCUCACUGCGCUAUGCCUAUAGAGAGAGAAAACGAUGGGGCAGCGGCCAUUAUUGCGGUGGAACUAUUGUUAGCAAUCGUGCGAUUAUCACUGCAGCUCAUUGCCUAAGGGGGAGGCGCCAUAAGAAAGAAGUAGUAGUUGUAGUAGGAAACACUUUUCUAGACGACAGAUCUGCAACAACGAAGGAGCUGGAAAUCUUAUCUUGGCGUGUUCACCAAAAAUAUACUAAGCCAUUGAACGAUAUUGCAUUGAUCUUUACUGUCGAGCAUAUACAACCCAUUAGUGGGGCUAUUGAGAUUUUGCCCCUAAACACGAGGGAAGUCGACGUGGGUACCAGAUGUCUAGUAUCCGGCUGGGGUCAAGCCAAUCACUUUGUGCCAGAUCGCACGAAUGAUCUGAGGGCGCAAUGGAUACAGAUUGUCAGCCCUAAAAUCUGUAGGAAGCUCUAUCGUAUACCUAAAGUAAUUUGCGCCGGCGAUGAGUCCACUACUGGGCCCAGCUUUGGUGAUUCGGGGGGCCCGUUGAGGUGCGAAGAUAAAUUGUCGGGUAUCGUCUCUGUGGGAAGGCUUGAGGGUGGUCCGACCGCAUACACAAGUAUUCGGGAUUUAUACCCUUGGAUACGACGUGAGCUCAGUAGCUUCAAUGGAGCUCCGCCAAUGCGACCGUCUUGCAUCCAGAGACAGGUUGUUUUGGCCAUCACCAUUUAUAUGGUAACAAAAUGAUUCAUUCUGCUCUACGUAUUAAAACAUGUGGAAAUGAAGAAGUCCAGGUCAAAUUUGUUUACAUUCCGCUUGGAAACUGGGUCAUUGUGAGCGCGAGCGAGCGAGAUGGCAACAGCAAUGUUGUUAAGCGAUUGUUCGCCGCUGGGACGCAGCUUGAAAUCGCCAACACGAUGGCAACGUGGGACAUGCCCUACCAGCGGCGAUAACAACAAACUGAUCAAAAAAAAAUCAGCAUAACGUUCAAGCCGCUGUAAAUGCUCUAUCUCGUGGAACGAUAAUUGGCCAGAAAUCGCAACUAACUUCAAAUUAUUGUUCAUAUUUUUAUGGAAUGACCUAAGAAAUGGAAAGAAAUAAUUGUAAAUAAUUUUUAAUAUUAGUUUAGCG